rnacentral:lncRNA from 1 species
AUGCCGAGACCCCGGCUCUGCGGCCGCUCAGGUUGCAGCAGCAGGUCCCUCGCGACGCAAAAGCAAACGCAGGGGCAGCAACCAGAGAGCAGAAAGCAUCCAUCAAAGGAAACAACACCAAAGUUAGAAAGAAUAGUAAGGAACCGUGCGCACACUCCUGCUAGCCAGAUGUCUGCCCGUUCUCCGCGCGGGUCUGGAGAGGAGCUUCAAGUCAUCCCUUCUCUGCCUUCUUUCCCCGGCCGCGCAGAGCAGUCCCCCGGGAGCGCCGCCCAGCCGAGCUGUGCGCGCACCGCACCACAGACGGAGCCGGAGCCGAGGCCGGGCCGGCACGAGGCGCUGCCCGCGCCCUGCCCCGCGCGUCCACGUGUCAGCGGGUUAGUUUGGGAAGGCUCACCUCGAGAAGCGUUUACAGUGGGUGAGGCUACAAGACGCCAGGCAAUUAGAGCAGACUUUGCUUUCUAUAAGCCAUUCCCAUUAACCUCUCUCUCCCUUAAGGCAACCGUGGCACACGCGAGAAACUCCGCGGAGCUCACCCGGGGGCUAUUUACCACAGCGUUUACCGCGGUAACCUCCCUCAAGAGAGAAGGCUGCAAGGCAGAAGGGCUCCAAACACACGCUCCAGCCCGGAGGGAACUCAGCAAGGCACAGGGAUGGCACGGGAGCGAAGGAACGCCCGCCGGUCCCACCACCCCGCUCCCUGUUCCGACCGCCGGGCAGCAGAGCCACGCUCCCGCCCAACGCGCGAACGCCGGUGCCCUACCUGCUAGGCAGCCCCGCCGCCGCCACCCCCAGCAUCGCGCUGAGCUCCGCCGCAACGGGAGGAGCCGUGCCGGUAAUGGCGCUGCGCGCCCGCCCCCUGCCCGCCCCGCGCUGCCGCCUGGGGGCGCACUCUUCCCGCUCCGCCGCCCGGCCGGGCCCCGCCUCAUCCCGCUGCCAGGCGGGAAGCGCCGCGCUGGGCUAGGCUGGGCUGGGCUGGGCUGGGCUCGGCUCGGGGGUGGGGGGUGGGCUUCUUCGGCCGCCGGCCCUCGGUGUGCGCGGCUGGCGGCACGCAGCUCUUGGCGCCGCUUUUCGGAACAGAAAAUUGCUGCCGAAACCACGGCAGCUAUUUUCGCUAUGUGUUCCGUGUGGUUUCGCAGCAGGGCGCGAACUCUGCAGUCCCCAGAGGACAGCGUGCUUGGGGCACGUGAGGGCAGCGGGCGUCGGCGCAGGCAGCCAUGCCUGGCAUAUUUGGCUCCAUCUUCCAAAUAUGGAGCCAAAUAUGGAAGAUGGAAAGAGAUUGUGCAGGAACAAGGACUGAUAACACCUGAUAACUGCUGUUAA